CAGAAAUGCAAGAAUCAAAAAAAUCCUGUCAUGUUCAGAAUAUUUUUUCCUUGACUCACAGGUAUGAAGUAAAGGAACAUUACCAACGUGCCCCACCCACAAGAUUUAACUGAAAGAACCUCUACAACUUAGAGUCCGUUGAAUUCUAAUAUGUGAUUAUACUCUCUAUUGGAGCUGGGGGUUCAGCAGGAGGAACAGUGUCAAAACAACACCCUACUCCCACUCCUGGGCUGUUGCUGAAUUCAUGAAUAUUGUAGAAGCAUUUUAUCCUGAUAAAAAAGAGAAUGAAUGGAUCAAAUAAAAGCACUGAGUAGGAAAAGCUGUCCUCUAAGCCAUUCCCAGUGGGAGGAGAAAAAUAUAGAGAAGACUGCAGAAGGUUUAAGAGCAUAUCUUUAGGAAGAAAGAGAAAGUCUUGCCUUAGUCCAAGUGCGUUUCAAUCAGAUAUCAGUUGUUUAAAGCCUUGCUGCCUUCUUCAGUCCUCUUUGUCUUCUGCUGGAAGCAGUCAUCUGAGGAAUUGCCUGGGGACAUGAGUUUCUUCUACAGUCACUGGCAUCAGGAUGGAUUGGCUACUUGAUAAGCAGAGCCACAAGUGUGAUUUAGGAACAUAGCCAAGAUGUGCUGCAGUAAAACCUUGUUCAGUCUAAUAUACAUUUCAAAGAAUGAUGUUGGAAGGAACAGAAGAUCAGGUCAGCUGUAGCUCCAGUUAGCUCAGAAUUGGAAAACUCCAGGGAUAUAA
rnacentral:lncRNA from 1 species